CAGGGCAAAUAAUUGUUUAUUCUGGGUGAAUCAAAUGCAUGCACACAAGCUGCCUCACUGAGGAUCAUCUAAGAGAGCCAUCUUAUUGAAUAAUGUCUAAAGAUUUAUUUAUUUAUAUGAGUACACUAUCGCUGUCUUCAGACACACCAGAAGAGGGCACCAAGCACACAUAGGGUACACACCCAUACACGCAGGCAAAACACACAAAAAAAUUAAUAAAUCUAACAGAGCACCGAGCUGGUGUGCACAGGUCUGAGUUUAGUUGCAGCACGACAAGUCAGGGCAAACAAAAACAUUCUUGUGAAAACGUAUAAGAAAAAAUGCCCAACUACCACGGUGAAUAGAGAAAGCACAAUAUUUUUUUGUGUGUGUAAUAUACUGGAGAGGUAGCUGCACAGUUAAGAGCUCUUGCAGAGGACUUCAAUUCAGUCCCCAACCCCGACAGGGCAGCUCACGACUGUUGACAACUCCAGGGGAUUCAUUUGAUGCCCUCUUCGUGCCUCUGCAAGAACCCGAUAU
rnacentral:lncRNA from 1 species